rnacentral:rRNA from 1 species
AUUGAACGCUGGCGGCAUGCCUUACACAUGCAAGUCGAGCGGUAGCACAGAGAGCUUGCUCUCGGGUGACGAGCGGCGGACGGGUGAGUAAUGUCUGGGAAACUGCCUGAUGGAGGGGGAUAACUACUGGAAACGGUAGCUAAUACCGCAUAACGUCGCAAGACCAAAGUGGGGGACCUUCGGGCCUCGUGCCAUCAGAUGUGCCCAGAUGGGAUUAGCUAGUAGGUGGGGUAACGGCUCACCUAGGCGACGAUCCCUAGCUGGUCUGAGAGGGUGACCAGCCACACUGGAACUGAGACACGGUCCAGACUCCUACGGGAGGCAGCAGUGGGGAAUAUUGCACAAUGGGCGCAAGCCUGAUGCAGCCAUGCCGCGUGUGUGAAGAAGGCCUUCGGGUUGUAAAGCACUUUCAGCGGGGAGGAAGGCGGUGAGGUUAAUAACCUCAUCGAUUGACGUUACCCGCAGAAGAAGCACCGGCUAACUCCGUGCCAGCCGCCGCGGUAAGAC